UGUAUAACCGCACGUAACUCACAAGUUCCCUUUGCUUUAAGGGCUUUGUUUCACAUUGAAAGAUACAUUUCUCUGUGCUACAAGCGUAAGCCGUUGGGAAUUUUUGUAGAGGUGAUUGAUUAAUGAGGGUAAAUUUAUAUUUGCAGAGUAUAAAAUUGCAGACAUUUUAACAGAAACCUUGUGAUAUCAUCUUAACAGUGUAAAGUAUGUCGAUUGUAAAAGAUUUAAACGUAGACGAUUUGAAGCGUGUGAUAACUAUGCAACAUCGUGAACUUAUGGUUAAGAAUGAACGUUUGAAAGGUGUACAAGAUUUGACUCGCAUUUGCAGUGAAUUGGAAGAGAAACGCGCUCACUGGCAAACAAAAGCAGAGAACUUGGAGACGGGUCUCAGCAAGGCAGAGGCAAGGAUUGCGUAUUUGCAAAAAAAACUAGGCAUUGGACCACAAUCGGCGUUUAAAAUCGAUGUCGUAAACCCUGGGAUAUCGAAGAAGGAUUUCAACAGAAUUACUCAGGAGAACAUGAAAUUAAGGGAAGCACUGGAUCACAUUGUCGCCACAGGUCUGGGUGGCGAUAAAAUUGCUUUAAAAAACAAAGAAUUAUAUGAAAUGGUGAUUCGACUUCAAGACGAAAUAAGUCAGCUGAACUACCAAAUAGAUGAAUUACAGUCAAUACUGAAUGGCAAGGACAAUGAACUAAUGAUAAAAGUUCAUGAUCUCCUAAUGGAAAAGAUUCGAAUAGAAAGGUCAAUGAAUGCCAAGCAGUAUUUUGCCGAAAAACUAUUAAAAGAAAAUGAACGUCUCAAAGGUUUAGGUAAGAAAAUUGCCUCACGCGAACUUGAUGAUGAUGAUGAUGUUAUUGAUGGGAAAGAAAAUGUUAGGAAUGUGACUCAUGAAGAAGAAAAAAGGGUUGACGAAGAUGUUCUCAAUGCAAGAGUGGAAAAAAUGACAAGAGAAAUUCGCGAAAAAGAUGAGCUCAUUCGAAGUCGUGACGAUAAAAUUGUGGAAAUUGAAACGAAAUUACAAGAUUCGUUAAAAAAAAGUGAGCAUCUUGAAGAAGAAUUGAAAAAAGCAAAUGAAAGAAAGGAGAAAAGUGAAGAAGAACUGAAUAAUGUAUCUAAGCGAUGUACUGAUUUACAGAAAAAAUGCACUGGUUUCUUUAAUCAAGUCGUCAGCUUAAAUUCUAAACAGCAAGAAUCAGAGGAAGAGAUAUCAUCAUUAAAACGAAAGAUCGAAAGUCAGCGUGUUCAAGAGCAGGAUAAUGAAGCAAUGUUGAUCAUGAUGCGAGAUUCAAUUAAGAACCACGAGCAUGAUUUCCGUCGUGAAAACGAGGAAAAAAUACAAUUGAGGAAAAAGAAUGAGACGCUGCAGAAAGAGAAUGAAAUUUUGAAGAGAGAAAAUCAAUCUCAUAUGAACACUGCUCGUCGCUUUGAAAGAGAAACCGAAAAAGUGAACAGCCUUUUGCAAGAAGAACGCAUGAGACCUAAGGCUACAGCUAGCUUCCCAACUGCCUUCGGAUUACCGUUAGGAGCUGGCAUGAAUUCAUUUCAGAAUCUCACAUCACCAGGGAUCGUUGUUGCAGAUAGCGCUAGAAAUGAAUCUAACAACUUACGACAUGAUGGCAAUUCGACGACAGCAGAUUCUUCUUCUACACUUAUUGAAUGUCCAUAUUGUUCUCGACAUUAUCCAUAUCAUCUUAUUGAAAGUCACGUACAAGACUGUAUGGAAGAUUCAUUAUAUUCAAACGAUUAACCCCGGCUUAUCUUAAAACAUGUGUACACGUAUUGGCAACUAUAUUGGCGUGACGUUGUGUGAAGGAGGCAUUCAAGUCCUUUGACGAGCUCAGUUUUGUAAAAAUCGUGGAAAUCACGAGCGUUUUGUUGAGGAAAUGCGGAAUUUCAUGAAAUAUUCUGGUCUGUUUUUCGUGAAACCACAGGAACAAUGCAGAGAAGCUAAUAAAACCAGGUUCUCAGGGCUGUCAGUUCGACCAUUUGCCCGGGCAACGACAGAUUAUUGGAGAAAUGCUUCAAAUUCAGUUAGUCCACUUUGACGUAAGAAGCAAAAAUUGAAAGGAUCGAUUUAAAUGUUCUUCAUAUUCAUGGCAUGAAAGAAGAAAUGACAGCAAACUUAACUGCUUCAUGUUGGUAAAACUUGGACGAAGAUAUUGGUAAAAUCAUCAUCAUCAUGAUCGAUUCUUUUGAGUACGUCGCUUAAAGUAUUUGAGUAAAUGAAUCGUGAUAUUUUUAAUUGAUGUUUGAUUCGCUAUAUCGAAGAAAAAUUUCUCUUAGCCUGGUUUCAGCUAAGCUCGUUUAACAAACAGUGUCACCCAUGAAAUAAAAAUAUCUUUCCAUCAACCCAAAAUACUAGCCAAAUUAUACUACGUAUAAUGUUUUAAGAUAGACAAUUUUAUUUUCUUCAUUCGUAACAAGCUUCCAAUACACGAGAAGAUACCACGGACUUCUACGUAAUAUAAUUUAUUACAUAGCAGUCCGUAUAAUGAAAUAUUUCUCAAUGUCUCAAAAACAAAUCGCGGAGAGAGGGCAAGCCUGUAGCCAGAACGAUAAUUUGGGUAGAGGCAUAUUCAUAUAUGCAUGACUUGCCGAAUGUGUUUCUUUUCUAAUCCAUUGUUUUUAUGGAUUACAAAUUGAAUAUAUGACUAGUUCUGGCUACGUGCCUAAGAGAGGGUUUAUGAGACAGAGUUGAUUAUUUCUCUUUAAUGAAUUAUAACACUGCAUGAUUUAUAUGUUUAUUUGGUUUUUAUUUACCUUUUUUUUUAAUAUGUAAAACAACUUAAAUAGCUCAAAACAGAAUUCGCCAUAUACAAUAUUCACGCGAAUUUUGACACAAGUGACAUGACUUGCAACGGCUAGCUGCUAGCUUUCCUAUAACUUUUUUUUGUUUCAUUGAACAAGUUACCACAAAUUUGGAGUGAUAGCUCAGUGGUCAGAGCGACUUGGUCGUGGGUUCGAGUCCCACUCACUCUGCGUUUGGGCUAUUAUAAAGAAAUUCAGUGGUGUUGCCUGUCUAUUUUGUUCUAUAUUCGAGCCAUUCAAAAUGUUCUGUGCAAACUCAAAGCGAAAACAAUAGACUUUUAAAGAUAAAUGAAAAAUUAAUUGUUGGCUACGCUGCUGAUAUAUUACCAGAAGGUAGAUCAAUGUUAUCUCACGUGAAUAUUUUAUGUGGCGAGAAAAAUUGUGAAUGAAAUAUUUUAGUUGUAGUUUAGCCAAACAUACAUAGUAACUAGUUUCAUUUAGGCUCGGCUGUAAAUUAAGUCAGCUAUUCAUGAGAAAAUAGAAAAUGUUUCAAAAAAAGGCAAUUUGGUCAGUGCAUGAUGCGUAAAUGCAAGAAGAUAGUUAUUUCACGGAACUUAUUCUUAAACCAUGUAAAGAGUUAAGGGUCAAGUCAAGAUGAGAUAACUGUUAAAAUAAAGUUUUGUUUUCAUAAACACGAUACCUCAAUGCAUUCUAUAUAUACUGUACGAUGACGAAAAAGCGAUACGUAUUAUACAAUAUACUACAAAACCAAAACUGUUCAGCAUACGCUAUAUAUGGAAUGCAAUUUAGGCAUUAUAGUGUUUUGGAUCAUCUGUGUGUACAUAACGUUAAUAAUCAAAGUAUUAUACGAGAAAUAUGUACUUUAAAUAUUGUUAUGUUUGUAAAUAUGAACUUUUGAACGUUUUGAAAUGUUAAAAUUGUUAAAGAAAUUUUAUGAUUGAGUUUCAAAAAACAAUUAUUAUCGAUUUAUAGUUUUGUUUAAUGCAGCACAAGGUCACUGUGGAAAUAAAUGUGUUUAUCAGAAUUGAAAUUCAACAAGUUACAUUGAA